rnacentral:lncRNA from 1 species
GGCCAUAUUUCACCACUCUGACAGGAGACUUUCCAGUGCCAAUCUCUGACAAGCUCUGUGGUCAUCCCAGCAGUGCACAGCCUGGCAGAAUAUGAACCGUGGUGGUCUUGGAAAGUUGCCUUCUCUGGACAUUGUCACCCGCAGAAGUGAUAUAUCUGCCAUAAUCACCACUGCCUGAACAUGUCUCCUAAACCUUUCAGCAUUCCUUUCUUGGCCUUAAU